CAUUUCAUUAAAAAUGAAAGAAUGUACUGCUCUAUUAUUACUCUAAAUGGAAAAAGGUAUACAACACUCAAAUUUAUCCUGUCAAAGCAACAUAAAUGAAAAGGAUUCCUACUUCAAACUACAAAAACAUGGCUACUAUAGACAAUGAGAGAGAGCUCACUGUAACUAAUGUGCCUAAAAUUUCACAGGCGGAAGGCCAAAUUUUUUUUUUCCUUUCUCUUUGUUUUGUUUCCUAGUGUCCCUCCUAGAAUAGUCAGCAACCAACAGAGCAGGCAUCCGAAGCUUUUUGCAACCUAAACCAUAAUCUAUACCUCAUAGUCUAGGGCUCAGGCUGCUGCCGGGAUCGGCCCAUCAUAUCUGAAACCCCGACCACGUCCACGGCCUCUGAAUCUGCCUUGUCCACGUCCUCGCCCUGCAGGUUUUGAGUAGUUUAAUUACAGUUUGCAGAAGAUAUUAUACUCCAAAAGGAGUAUAUAUCAAUUUAACUAAAGAGAGCAAAAUAUUGUGCAAUGCACCCCCAUGUAUUUGCUGCAACUGAACUCACUAGAGCAAAUCCAAAGUUAAAAACAGGUGAUCGAAACCCAGAGGUAUUGUCUAAAGGACAUAUUUUCUUUUACUUGCAUUUGGAUUUGUAUAGCCAUGCAAGCAGAACACACAAGAAGGCAAAAUGACAUGAAUUAAUUACAUAACACUAAAGAAGUAAAACUUAACCAAAAAGCCAGAAACAUAAUGCAUGAAGAUAUGAAACAAAAGCAUGGCAAAACCCAUCACAACAAAACUCCCCAAUAACUUAAUCAAAACCCAGAGAAACUAUGGAUUCACCACAAAAAUACAAUCCGAUCAUACCAGCAUAGAAGAGUUAGUCACAUCAAGCAAAUACUGACAGACCCAUCAAUCACAAGCACUCAAAAGCCCAACAUGGGAGUUGAACUCUACAAUAAGAUAAUAUAUUAGUAUUUGAUAUCAGUGUCAAUUUUUUAUUUUUUUUUUGGUAUAUGUAUUUAGAAAAAAUAGAUUUACAGUAACAGAGANN
rnacentral:lncRNA from 1 species